UACAGAGGUCCCAAGCGUUGUUCGGAUUCAUUGGGCGUAAAGGGUGCGUAGGUGGCGGGGCAAGUCUGGUGUGAAAUCCCGGGGCUCAACCCCGGAACUGCACUGGAUACUGCUUUGCUAGAGUACUGGAGAGGGAACUGGAAUUUACGGUGUAGCAGUGAAAUGCGUAGAUAUCGUAAGGAAGACCAGUGGCGAAGGCGAGUUCCUGGACAGUUACUGACACUGAGGCACGAAGGCCAGGGGAGCAAACGGG
rnacentral:rRNA from 1 species